rnacentral:rRNA from 1 species
UCCUAUGAAAUCGAGUGGCAAACGGGUGAGUAACGCGUAAACAACCUGCCCUUCGGAUGGGGAUAACAGCCGGAAACGGCUGCUAAUACCGAAUACGAUCUUUUCGUCGCAUGACGAAAAGAAGAAAGGAUGGCCUCUAUACAAAGCUAUCGCCGAAGGAGGGGUUUGCGUCUGAUUAGCUGGUUGGAGGGGUAACGGCCCAACAAGGCGAUGAUCAGUAGCCGGUCUGAGAGGAUGAACGGCCACAUUGGGGCUGAGACACGGCCCAGACUCCUACGGGAGGCAGCAGUGGGGAAUCUUCCGCAAUGGACGAAAGUCUGACGGAGCAACACCGCGUGAGUGAAGAAGGUCUUCGGAUUGUAAAGCUCUGUUAUACGGGACGAAAAAGACGGAUGCCAACAGUAUCCGUCCGUGACGGUACCGUAAGAGAAAGCCACGGCUAACUACGUGCCAGCAGCCGCGGUAAUACGUAGGUGGCAAGCGUUGUCCGGAAUUAUUGGGCGUAAAGGGCGCGCAGGCGGUUCGGUAAGUCUGUCUUAAAAGUGCGGGGCUUAACCCCGUGAGGGGACGGAAACUGUCGAACUUGAGUGUCGGAGAGGAAAGCGGAAUUCCUAGUGUAGCGGUGAAAUGCGUAGAUAUUAGGAGGAACACCGGUGGCGAAAGCGGCUUUCUGGA